UUUCAAUUAUAGAGCUUCCGAAUCGACGAUCCACACCGUUAAAUAUUAUCUAAAAUAUUUAAAACGUUUAGAAAUCAAAUUUUAUAAAUUUUUGACAUCAUUUAUCUUACGAUCAAAAAGUUAUAAAAUUGAUAAUUUUUAAUGAUCAGUAUGGGAUAUUUGCUAGUUUAACGAUGUAAAAGAAUCGAAAUCAGUUGUAUUUUUGAUAGAAAAUUUUAUUCACUACAUAAAUAAAAAUCAAUAACUCCAAUCUUAAAUUGAAGGAUCCGAUCAACCAUUUUUAAGACGUCGUUCGAUUUAGGCCAUUCAUUUUCUACCCACUUGAUGAACUUUCUUAUGAUUUUAAAAAAUUACGAAAUUUAUUUUUUAGAAGUUUCAAAUACUCUAAAUCAUAUUUAACAGAGUGGAUCAUCAUUUCGGAAGCUCCAUCAUUGAUAACAGCUUAUGAGUAUGAAGUGCUCUAUACUCAUAAGAAUAUAGUAAUCCUAGCAUAUAUAUAUAUAUAUAUAUAUAUAUAUAUAGUUGAGCUCCUAUGUUUUUAAAAGUACCAUGACAUUGGUACUUGUAAAUUUUUAGCUUUUGAAUUAAGAAUUGUGUGGUUAGGAUGAUGUAGGUUCCCUAAGGUUGAGUGGGUGGUUGGUUGAAUAGUAUAAUCUAACGGGUAUAAAUGGUCAACGGUACAAAUCUAAUGGUUAAAACCUACAAACACCAAGUGCUUUGUGCUUUUAAGAGCACCAUAGCCGGACUCUCUCUCUCUCUCUCUCUCUCUCUCUCUAUAUAUAUAUAUAUAUAAUAAUUUUUUAAAAAAGUAUCAAAUAUUUGGCGCGUGUAAAUUUUUCACCAUUAAAUCUAUUUUUUGCUAAAUUCCAUUCUUUAAAUUAUGAUACUUCACCAACCAUCAACUCAAUUCUAGAAGUCUCUUAUUAUCCUAACAGUACAUAUAUGGAACGUCAUUCCAUGUCGUAGUAUAGGU
rnacentral:lncRNA from 1 species